UAGACACAGCUCUGAUCUUCGUGCCUGUACAGGAUGGGGAAGGAAAGGUGUUCAUCUAAGGAAGUGAUCUUCUUGGGCAAGCUUUGCUGAGGACCCUCUUGAAGGUGUACAUGCCAAGGAAAGGAAGGAGACCAUGGUCGGUCACGUUGAGUCUUCCAUAUGAUGACUGUUUCACACUUGUUGGGCCAGCCUAUGCUGGGACUGUCUUUGGUUUCCUACAUGAAAGCAAGCCCUUGAAAAGGAAGAUAUGUUGAGUCUUGGAUGGAGACCUCCACACUCAGCUUCUUCCUCUUUUCUCAGUAAAGUUCACCACCUCA